rnacentral:lncRNA from 1 species
GCUCUCUAUAGCGACAAAUCGGCUUUGGGAUUUUCAUUUCCCUUCGAGUGUAAAAAUGUUGUGUUUGCGUGAGUUUCCUCUGACAUCCGAUUCACUAUCAACAAUUGGAAUACUGUCCAACCUUGAAGAGCUGUACCUUAAAGACACAAUCAUCGAGGGGGAAGAAUGGAACAUGGGGGAGGAAGACACCUUCCAGAAUCUCAAAUGUUUGACAUUGCAGCGAGUGAAUCUUGCUAAGUGGGAGGUUAGAGAGGAAUCCUUUCCUGUGCUUGAGAAAUUACGACAGCGGGAUUGUCGUUAGCUUGAGGAGAUUCAGCCAAGUUUCGGGGAUAUUUGUUCAUUAAAAAGUAUCGAACUGAAGUGGAGCCCUCAACUUGUAGAAUCUGCUCUGAAGAUUAAGCAAGAUGUUGAAGAUAUGAUGGGGGAUAUUCAGGUCCUUGUUUAUAACUGAUCAAGUUUUGAGCAUUUUUACCUUGGGAAAAUAGGUGAGUACAGACGAAUUUAUUACCUCCUCAUUUUCAGUAUAAGUGGCAGAGUUUGACCAGUGUAAUUUUCUUUUGCAGAGUUUGACGAGUUGUUUGCAUAUCAUAUGUUACUGCUCAAGUCCAAAAACAUAUGAUGGAAUAAUUCUUUUGGAAGUUGAUUUGGAGGAUAGCAAGAAGUGAAACAAAAGGUGGGCAACCUCUGUACUAUAUGAAAGUUAUCUUAUACCUCAGAUUUUUCAAGUUUUUAUAUAUCUUUCAACAAAUACCUUCACAAUCAGCUCAUCGGCGCAUAGAGUUUUAGUUGUGAUGCAGGCUGGUGGAAUUCACACGCACCAAGAAUCAGCCCAUCGACGCAUUUGGAGUUGGAGGCUGCUGUAUCAUGAUCGAGAUGUGAAUUCAAUUUAAGUCAGAGUGUAUAUAAUAUAGGCAAGUACAGUGAUGAAGAAGUUGUGAAUACAAUGCCAUUCUCCUCAUCUCUUUCACCAAUCUUUCAAAUGCUACCCACUGAGGGCUCAAAUUUUUAAAAGCAGAAUAAUGGGUGUAAUGCCACUUCCAUUAUUACUAUUCAGCACUAUGUGGGAUUAUACUAGGUCAAAAUAAUUUGAAUUCCUUUAUUUUCCGUAAAGAAGAGGACGUGAUGAGGGUUAUAGUAUUAAGUUAUGACAAUUUAUGUGAUCCCUUAAAGUCGUGCUUGGUUCACCUUGCAUGUUUUCCGGAGGACGAAGUAAUUCCUGUCCGUAAUUUGGAAAUUUUAUGGCCUGCUGAAGGAUUUUUGGAGCAGAGAGAGAAGAAUAGUGUGGAAGAAGUGGUUGCGAUUUAUCUGGAUAAUUUAAUUUCCAGUAGCUUGGUAAUUUCUUUCGAUAAAAUAGGUGACAAUCGGACUUGCCAAAUUCAUGAUCUUGUGCAUGAGUUUUGUUUGAUAAAAGCAAGAGAGGAAAAGUUAUUUGACUUGAUAAGUUCAAGUGCUCCAUCAUCAUCUUCUUCAGAUUUGAUGCCACGUCAAAUGAACAUUGCAUAUAGUAAGUGGCAUAACAACAGGCAUUCUGGUAAACACCUUUAUUCUUUGAGGAUAACUGGACACAAGUUUGGUGACAAUAGUCUUAAUGAUAUAUGUCACCUAAGACACUUGAGGCUUCUUAGAGUGUUGCAACUGGAUGACUCUUCAAUUCUGUUGAGUGAUUCUUUGUUGAAUGAAAUAUGCAGACUGGUUCAUUUGAGAUACUUAGAGAUUCGCACAGAAGUUAAAUCUCUGCCUUCGUCGUUUUCAAAUCUCUUGAAUCUGGAAACUCUGUGGGUGAAUAAAUAUGGACCACCCAUGGUAUUAUUACCAACAAUUUGGAAUCUUAUAAAGUUGCGAGUGCUGGCUAUAUAUAAAUGUUUCUUCUUUGUUUUGUAUAAGAAUGAGUCAAUACUGGUUGCAGAGAACUCAAAGUCAGAGAGCUUGAGAUUAUUACGGGGACUCGAAGUUUCCUAUUCAAAAGACACGGAGGAUAUUUUCAAAAGGUUUCCCAAUCUUCACAAGCUUCGAUUUGAUCUCAAGGAAUCAUGGGAUUGUUCAACAGGGCGAUAUCGGUUCCCGAAAUUGGACUUCUUAAAUGAACUAGAAUCUCUCGAAGUAACUUUUAUAAGUUCAAAUUCAAAUGAUAGUGCGCUCUCUAUAGCGACAAAUCGGCUUUGGGAUUUUCAUUUCCCUUCGAGUGUAAAAAUGUUGUGUUUGCGUGAGUUUCCUCUGACAUCCGAUUCACUAUCAACAAUUGGAAUACUGUCCAACCUUGAAGAGCUGUACCUUAAAGACACAAUCAUCGAGGGGGAAGAAUGGAACAUGGGGGAGGAAGACACCUUCCAGAAUCUCAAAUGUUUGACAUUGCAGCGAGUGAAUCUUGCUAAGUGGGAGGUUAGAGAGGAAUCCUUUCCUGUGCUUGAGAAAUUACGACAGCGGGAUUGUCGUUAGCUUGAGGAGAUUCAGCCAAGUUUCGGGGAUAUUUGUUCAUUAAAAAGUAUCGAACUGAAGUGGAGCCCUCAACUUGUAGAAUCUGCUCUGAAGAUUAAGCAAGAUGUUGAAGAUAUGAUGGGGGAUAUUCAGGUCCUUGUUUAUAACUGAUCAAGUUUUGAGCAUUUUUACCUUGGGAAAAUAGGUGAGUACAGACGAAUUUAUUACCUCCUCAUUUUCAGUAUAAGUGGCAGAGUUUGACCAGUGUAAUUUUCUUUUGCAGAGUUUGACGAGUUGUUUGCAUAUCAUAUGUUACUGCUCAAGUCCAAAAACAUAUGAUGGAAUAAUUCUUUAGGAAGUUGAUUUGGAGGAUUGCAAGAAGUGAAACAAAAGGUGGGCAACCUCUGUACUAUAUGAAAGUUAUCUUAUAUCUCAGAUUUUUCAAGUUUUUAUAUAUCUUUCAACAAAUACCUUCACAAUCAGCUCAUCGGCGCAUAGAGUUUUAGUUGUGAUGCAGGCUGGUGGAAUUUGGACAAGAGGGGUUGCUCUGAUGGUAAGAAACCCCCACUUCCAACCGAGAGGUUGUGAGUUCGAGUCUCCGAAAGAGCAAGGUGGGAAGUUUCUUGGAGGGAAAGAUGCUGGGGGUCUAUUUGGAAACAGCCUCUCUACCCCAGGGUAGAGGUAAGGUCUGAGUACAUACUACCCUCCCCAGACCCCACUAUGUGGGAUUAUACUAGGUCAAAAUAAUUUGAAUUCCUUUAUUUUCCGAAAAGAAGAGGACAUGAUGAGGGUUAUAGCAUUAAGUUAUUACAAUUUACGUGAUCCCUUGAAGUCGUGCUUGAUUCACCUUGCAAGUAUUCCGAAGGACGAAGUAAUUCCAAUCCGUAAUUUGGAAAUUUUAUGGCCUGCUGAAGGAUUUUUGGAGCAGAGAGAGAAGAAGAGUGUGGAAGAAGUGGUUGCGAUUUAUCUGGAUAAUUUAAUUUCCAGUAGCUUGGUAAUUUCUUUCGAUAAAAUAGGUGACGAUCAGACUUGCCAAAUUCAUGAUCUUGUGCAUGAGUUUUGUUUGAUAAAAGCAAGAGAGGAAAAGUUAUUUGACUUGAUAAGUUCAAGUGCUCCAUCAUCAUCUUCUUCAGAUUUGAUGCCACGUCAAAUGAACAUUGCAUAUAGUAAGUGGCAUAACAACAGGCAUUCUGGUAAACACCUUUAUUCUUUGAGGAUAACUGGACACAAGUUUGGUGACAAUAGUCUUAAUGAUAUAUGUCACCUAAGACACUUGAGGCUUCUUAGAGUGUUGCAACUGGAUGACUCUUCAAUUCUGUUGAGUGAUUCUUUGUUGAAUGAAAUAUGCAGACUGGUUCAUUUGAGAUACUUAGAGAUUCGCACAGAAGUUAAAUCUCUGCCUUCGUCGUUUUCAAAUCUCUUGAAUCUGGAAACUCUGUGGGUGAAUAAAUAUGGACCACCCAUGGUAUUAUUACCAACAAUUUGGAAUCUUAUAAAGUUGCGAGUGCUGGCUAUAUAUAAAUGUUUCUUCUUUGUUUUGUAUAAGAAUGAGUCAAUACUGGUUGCAGAGAACUCAAAGUCAGAGAGCUUGAGAUUAUUACGGGGACUCGAAGUUUCCUAUUCAAAAGACACAGAGGAUAUUUUCAAAAGGUUUCCCAAUCUUCACAAGCUUCGAUUUGAUCUCAAGGAAUCAUGGGAUUGUUCAAGAGGGCGAUAUCGGUUCCCGAAAUUGGACUUCUUAAAUGAACUAGAAUCUCUCGAAGUAACUUUUAUAAGUUCAAAUUCAAAUGAUAGUGCGCUCUCUAUAGCGACAAAUCGGCUUUGGGAUUUUCAUUUCCCUUCGAGUGUAAAAAUGUUGUGUUUGCGUGAGUUUCCUCUGACAUCCGAUUCACUAUCAACAAUUGGAAUACUGUCCAACCUUGAAGAGCUGUACCUUAAAGACACAAUCAUCGAGGGGGAAGAAUGGAACAUGGGGGAGGAAGACACCUUCCAGAAUCUCAAAUGUUUGACAUUGCAGCGAGUGAAUCUUGCUAAGUGGGAGGUUAGAGAGGAAUCCUUUCCUGUGCUUGAGAAAUUACGACAGCGGGAUUGUCGUUAGCUUGAGGAGAUUCAGCCAAGUUUCGGGGAUAUUUGUUCAUUAAAAAGUAUCGAACUGAAGUGGAGCCCUCAACUUGUAGAAUCUGCUCUGAAGAUUAAGCAAGAUGUUGAAGAUAUGAUGGGGGAUAUUCAGGUCCUUGUUUAUAACUGAUCAAGUUUUGAGCAUUUUUACCUUGGGAAAAUAGGUGAGUACAGACGAAUUUAUUACCUCCUCAUUUUCAGUAUAAGUGGCAGAGUUUGACCAGUGUAAUUUUCUUUUGCAGAGUUUGACGAGUUGUUUGCAUAUCAUAUGUUACUGCUCAAGUCCAAAAACAUAUGAUGGAAUAAUUCUUUAGGAAGUUGAUUUGGAGGAUGACAUAUGAUGGAAUAAUUCUUUAGGAAGUGGAUUUGGAGGAUAGCAAGAAGUGAAACAAAAGGUGGGCAACCUCUGUACUAUAUGAAAGUUAUCUUAUACCUCAGAUUUUUCAAGUUUUUAUAUAUCUUUCAACAAAUACCUUCACAAUCAGCUCAUCGGCGCAUAGAGUUUUAGUUGUGAUGCAGGCUGGUGGAAUUCACACGCACCAAGAAUCAGCCCAUCGACGCAUUUGGAGUUGGAGGCUGCUGUAUCAUGAUCGAGAUGUGAAUUCAAUUUAAGUCAGAGUGUAUAUAAUAUAGGCAAGUACAGUGAUGAAGAAGUUGUGAAUACAAUGCCAUUCUCCUCAUCUCUUUCACCAAUCUUUCAAAUGCUACCCACUGAGGGCUCAAAUUUUUAAAAGCAGAAUAAUGGGUGUAAUGCCACUUCCAUUAUUACUAUUCAAAUUUGUACUGCUUUCUACCAGCAUAUGCUAUUUAUUGUAACUUUUACCUACUAUAUGCGACAAGAGGGGUUGCUCUGAUGGUAAUCAACCCCUACUUUCAAUCGAGAGGUUGUGAGUUCGAGUUUCCCCAAGAGCAAGGUGGGAAGUUCUUGGAGGG